rnacentral:tRNA from 1 species
GCCCCCAUAGCUCAAUGGACAGAGCACUUGCCUUCUAAGCAGGGAAUGUAGGUCCGAUUCCUACUGGGGGCA